rnacentral:rRNA from 1 species
AUGUCUAAUACAUGCAAGUCGAGCGAGGCUUCGAGCCGAGCGGCGGACGAGCGAGUAACGCGUUGGAACCUGCCCCGAACUCAGGGAUAAGCAUCGGAAACGAUGUCUAAUACCGGAUAGUCCCGCAAGGGUAAAGAUUUUUCGGUUCGGGAGGGGCCUGCGUCCUAUCAGCUUGUUGGUGAGGUAAUAGCUCACCAAGGCAAUGACGGGUAACUGGUCUGAGAGGAUGAUCAGUCGCGAUGGAACUGAGACACGGUCCAUACUCCUACGGGAGGCAGCAGUAGGGAAUCUUCCACAAUGGGCGAAAGCCUGAUGGAGCAAUACCGCGUGGUUGAUGAAGCCCCUUGGGGUGUAAAGACCUUUUCUGAGAGAAGAAUUCUGACGGUAUCUUAGGAAUAAGCACCGGCUAACUCCGUGCCAGCAGCCGCGGUAAUACGGAGGGUGCAAGCGUUAUCCGGAAUAAUUGGGCGUAAAGCGUCCGCAGGCGGUCUAUUAAGUCACAUAUAAAAGACAACGGCUCAACCGUUGCAGCGUAUGAGAUACUGGUAGACUAGAGAUCAGUAGAGGUGUGUAGAAUUCUGCAUGUAGGGGUAAAAUCCGUUGAUAUGCAGAGGAAUACCAAAAGCGAAAGCAGCACACUGGACUGUUUCUGACGCUCAGGGACGAAAGCGUAGGUAGCGAACGGGAUUAGAUACCCCGGUAGUCUACGCCGUAAACGAUGGAUACUCGGUGUUGCCUUUGUUUAUCGAGGCAGUGCCCAAGCUAACGCGUUAAGUAUCCCGCCUGGGGAGUACGGUCGCAAGAUUAAAACUCAAAGGAAUAGACGGGGACCCACACAAGCAGUGGAGCAUCUGGUUUAAUUCGAUAAUAAGCGAGGAACCUUACCUAGGCUUGACAUCUUGGAGAAUUCUCUAGAAAUAGAGAAGUGCCUUCUGGAGCUCCGAUGACAGGCGCUGCAUGGUUGUCGUCAGCUCGUGCCUUGAGGUGUUCGGUUAAGUCCGUAAACGAGCGCAACCCACGUCACGUGUUGUAUUUUUCACGUGAGACCGCCGGCUACAAGUCGGAGGAAGGUGUGGAUGACGUCAAAUCAGCAUGGCCCUUAUGCCUAGGGCUACACAGGUGCUACAAUGGCCAGUACAACGGGCAGCUAAGUCGCAAGAUGGAGCGAAUCCUUCAAAACUGGUCUAAGUUCGGAUUGGGGGCUGCAAUUCGCCCCCAUGAAGUUGGAAUUGCUAGUAAACGUGCAUCAGCAAUGGCGCGUUGAAUUUGUUCCUGGGUCUUGUACACACCGCCCGUCACACCACCCGAGUUGGGGGUACCCGAAGCCGUUAGCCUA